GACGAACGCUGGCGGCGUGCCUAAUACAUGCAAGUUGAGCGCUGAAGGUUGGUACUUGUACCAACUGGAUGAGCAGCGAACGGGUGAGUAACGCGUGGGGAAUCUGCCUUUGAGCGGGGGACAACAUUUGGAAACGAAUGCUAAUACCUCAUAAAAACUUUAAACACAAGUUUUAAGUUUGAAAGAUGCACUUGCAUCACUCAAAGAUGAUCCCGCGUUGUAUUAGCUAGUUGGUGAGGUAAAGGCUCACCAAGGCGAUGAUACAUAGCCGACCUGAGAGGGUGAUCGGCCACAUUGGGACUGAGACACGGCCCAAACUCCUACGGGAGGCAGCAGUAGGGAAUCUUCGGCAAAGGACGAAAGUCUGACCGAGCAACGCCGCGGGAGGGAAGAAGGUUGUCGGGUCGUAAAACUCGGUUGGUAGAGAAGAACGUUGGUGAGAGUGGAAAGCUCAUCAAGUGACGGUAACUACCCAGAAAGGGACGGCUAACUACGUG
rnacentral:rRNA from 1 species